rnacentral:lncRNA from 1 species
ACUGUGGAAGAAAACGCGUGUAGACCCUCAGCCCUGCCCAUCAUGGGGCUUAAAGUAAAACUGACCCAUAAAACAAAACGAGACAAACAGGUAGCAUUUCCUUCGCGCAGUUGCCUUUCCACGACCCCACCUUAGGCCACCUACGAGAGAUGCUUCGUGCACAUAACCAUCUCUGCUGCUCUAUUCUUCUCUAGUGGGCCCUCCAUAUUGAUCACUCACUUGGUCUCUCUGGUUGCAGGAGGCACAGACGGAGAAGCAGAAAGGGAAACCGUGAGAGAGGUAGAAAGGUGGGCUGGAAGGGAGGGAGCAGUUGGGCCGCCUCAGAAUCGAAGCAGAAUGAGCUGAGACAGGGACGUCAGCCCCCUGCCUCAGCUCUCUCCCCGACGCCCGACAUACACACACCCAGAGCAGGUCUGUUCCCCAGCAGGCUACCUCCGAAAACCAUUUCUGUUUCCUCUUAACCCCAAUGGCUCUCUCCAUAGAAUUAGAAGUACAUUUCAGUAUUUCAUAUGAAAGCAGAAGAGGAAAGAAGACCAGGGAGAAGAAAGAGAAGCUGCAUAAGAGCAAAGAGCAGUUACAUAUGUAUGCCUGUGUCAUAGCGAAACUCACUAUGUGCUAGG